GGGGCAGCUGAUGCAGCACGCCGCGUGCGGGAAGACAGCCCUAGGGUUGUAAACCGCUUUCAGUAGGGAAGAAAAUGACGGUACCUACAGAAGAAGGUGCGGCCAACUACGUGCCAGCAGCCGCGGUGACACGUAGGCACCAAGCGUUAUCCGGAUUUAUUGGGCGUAAAGAGCUCGUAGGCGGUUUGGUAAGUCGGGUGUGAAAACUCAGGGCUUAACCCUGAGACGCCACCCGAUACUGCCAUGACUUGAGUACGGUAGGGGAGCGGGGAACUCCUGGUGUAGCGGUGAAAUGCGCAGAUAUCAGGAAGAACACCGGUGGCGAAGGCGCCGCUCUGGGCCGUAACUGACGCUGAGGAGCGAAAGCGUGGGUAGCAAACAGGAUUAGAUACCCUGGUAGUCCACGCCGUAAACGUUGGGCACUAGGUGUGGGUCUCAACUAACGAGAUCCGCGCCGUAGCUAACGCAUUAAGUGCCCCGCCUGGGGAGUACGGUCGCAAGACUAAAACUCAAGAGAAAUUUGACGGGA
rnacentral:rRNA from 1 species